GAUGAACGCUGGCGGCGUGCCUAAUACAUGCAAGUCGAGCGAACAGACGAGGAGCUUGCUCCUCUGACGUUAGCGGCGGACGGGUGAGUAACACGUGGAUAACCUACCUAUAAGACUGGGAUAACUUCGGGAAACCGGAGCUAAUACCGGAUAAUAUAUUGAACCGCAUGGUUCAAUAGUGAAAGACGGUUUUGCUGUCACUUAUAGAUGGAUCCGCGCCGCAUUAGCUAGUUGAUAAGGUAACGGCUUACCAAGGCAACGAUGCGUAGCCGACCUGAGAGGGUGAUCGGCCACACUGGAACUGAGACACGGUCCAGACUCCUACGGGAGGCAGCAGUAGGGAAUCUUCCGCAAUGGGCGAAAGCCUGACGGAGCAACGCCGCGUGAGUGAUGAAGGACUUCGGAUCGUAAAACUCUGUUAUUAGGGAAGAACAAAUGUGUAAGUAACUAUGCACGUCUUGACGGUACCUAAUCAGAAAGCCACGGCUAACUACGUG
rnacentral:rRNA from 1 species